rnacentral:rRNA from 1 species
UACAGAGGUCUCAAGCGUUGUUCGGAUUCAUUGGGCGUAAAGGGUGCGUAGGCGGCGUGGUAAGUCGGAUGUGAAAUCUCGGAGCUUAACUCCGAAACUGCAUUCGAUACUGCCGUGCUUGAGGACGGUAGAGGGGGGUGGAAUUGCUGGUGUAGCGGUGAAAUGCGUAGAGAUCAGCAGGAACACCCGUGGCGAAGGCGGCCCCCUGGGCCGUACCUGACGCUGAGGCGCGAAGGCUAGGGGAGCGAACGGG